GCUUGUCUCAAAGAUUAAGCCAUGCAUGUCUCAGUACAAGCCAUAUUAAGGUGAAACCGCAAAAGGCUCAUUAAAUCAGUUAUGGUUCCUUAGAUCGUACCCACAAUUACUUGGAUAACUGUGGUAAUUCUAGAGCUAAUACAUGCAAACAGAGCUCCGACCGGAGACGGAAGGAGUGCUUUUAUUAGAUCAAAACCAAUCGGUGGCGGGCUCGUCAUCGUACAACUUGGUGACUCUGAAUAACUUUACGCUGAUCGCACGGUCAUCGCACCGGCGACGCAUCUUUCAAAUGUCUGCCUUAUCAACUGUCGAUGGUAGGUUCUGCGCCUACCAUGGUUGUAACGGGUAACGGGGAAUCAGGGUUCGAUUCCGGAGAGGGAGCCUGAGAAACGGCUACCACAUCCAAGGAAGGCAGCAGGCGCGCAAAUUACCCACUCCCGGCACGGGGAGGUAGUGACGAAAAAUAACGAUACGGGACUCAUCCGAGGCCCCGUAAUCGGAAUGAGUACACUCUAAACUCUUUAACGAGGAUCAAUUGGAGGGCAAGUCUGGUGCCAGCAGCCGCGG
rnacentral:rRNA from 1 species